rnacentral:rRNA from 1 species
AUACGGAGGAUGCGAGCGUUAUCCGGAUUUAUUGGGUUUAAAGGGUGCGUAGGUGGUAAUUUAAGUCAGCGGUGAAAGUUUGUGGCUCAACCAUAAAAUUGCCGUUGAAACUGGGUUACUUGAGUGUGUUUGAGGUAGGCGGAAUGCGUGGUGUAGCGGUGAAAUGCAUAGAUAUCACGCAGAACUCCAAUUGCGAAGGCAGCUUACUAAACCAUAACUGACACUGAAGCACGAAAGCGUGGGUAUCAAACAGGAUUAGAUACCCUGGUAGUCCACGCAGUAAACGAUGAUUACUAGGAGUUUGCGAUACACGGUAAGCUCUACAGCGAAAGCGUUAAGUAAUCCACCUGGGGAGUACGCCGGCAACGGUGAAACUCAAAUGAAUUGGCGGGG